rnacentral:lncRNA from 1 species
GUGUAUUUUCAGGCCACAUUUCAAGUCCCAAUGUCCUAAGGGACAUAAGAGGGAAUUGGUCCCACCCCCUGUAGUAAGGGUGAGAUGGGCAUCUUGAUCUAUAAAAGGAAAAUGUCAACUAUUGAAGGAAAAGAAUGACAUUUGUUAAAGCACAGAAUGAAGGCUUUUAUUCAGGACCAGGAAACAAGGCAGGGGAAACUGUUGGGGAAGUUCGAGUUCCUAGAGGAGGCUAUGGGGGAUUGCUACCAUACACUGUGCGUCGUCUGGUUCAGUCUUCACACGGUAUUUCUGAAUAAACACCUGUACGCGCAUAGCCAAGUGUUUGCUGGAUACCUUCCCACUCUUUCUAUUGUCUUUUUACAAAGAUCCUCUUCCUGGCCAAGUGUCCAUCCAGCUGCUGACCCUCCUUCCAGUCUGACCUGUACACUUUCUUGUCUUACCCACUUUCCACACAGAUCACAGGUAAGUUAUUUAACAAGAACCCCAUCCUGGAUAUCACAGCAUUCUGGAUAUGGAACUGGGCUCAUCACCCUGCACAGGAUGCCUACCCACCCUAGGCGGCAUGCUGCAAUCUGAGAAGCCCGCCCUGGGAGAUGACGCCAGUGUGCUGAGAGCCAACAAGAAGAAAGUCAUUGUGAGUCUGUUUCGGGAACCAUGAUGAGAUCAAGAUUCUCAUUUAUCCCUACAACCAAAGAACGCCAGUGAUGUACAUCAAUCACAGCCCUGACAGCAUGAUGCUCCACGGGUUGAGAAGAUUGCAUCUCCAGGGAAAACAGACAAGAGGCGUGUGCUGAGGUCGUCCUUCCGCACCAGACAAACUUGGAACGAAAAAGUGCACAUAACACUUCCUAAAGCACUUGAGUGACUGAUUUGUCAGCUCCUGUCACCUGACCAUGGGCUACCUUCAGAAGACUAGACCAGCUAGACAGUCAUGGACCACCAAUGAGAAAGUCACACAGUGUUCUUUCCCUUUUCUAUCUCUGGGGCCCAGCCAUAAGCUUUUCAUGCCCAUAAGGAAAGCUCGAAGCUCCCGGGGUGCUGUGAGGACCAGGGUACUGGGACCAGCUCAAACCUAGGCAUUGCAGUGAUCUGCCUGGUUCUAAUAAGAUGCAAUACAUGAGAAACAGGUACAGGCUUAGACUUCAGGCUCUUUCUGGACCUCAUCACAGUUCCCUGAUUCACAGGAGGACACUCUGACUACAUUUGUGAGUGACUUCUCUAGCUGUGUGCCAAGCCUUUCAGCAGCGCUCAUUUCAGAACAUUCAAUUUCCUCUUACUUUCUGUCAGUUGUCUCCCUUUGAAUUCUGAUUUAUUUUACACACCCCUAUAAACUGUCUUAAUUGUCUUUGAAACAGAGACCAGAGUAGAGAAGGCUCAGUCUGCCUGUCUUUAUGUGGGUGUGGAAUGUGGGUUGUGUAGAAAGCAUUUGGCCUCAGUGAAACGGGAGAUGUUCUCAGAACCCAUGGAUGUCAAUGGCCAUCAUGUUGUGAGCUCUCACGGACAGAUCUAGACCCCUUUUGCACUGGGCAGGGUUGAGUGCUGCUGGUCCCUCAUUUGUAACUCCUUUACUGUCACCAAGUGAAGGAAAAUGUCCAGAAAGUGAAGAACAUUCUGUUUCUUGGAAGUAACAAAGGUCUAGCUCAGUUCCCAGAGUGAGGUUCCCAGACAAGAGGCUCGAUGUCAUCUGAACAUCGGGGAAAGCAGAAUUCUCUGACCCACCCUGCAAGAAGCUUGGGUGCUGAAGACUGAUUUUCAAUCAAGCAUCCCAUGAUCGUGAGUUUGUGCAAGCCUGAGAACCUAUUGACUUGACUCAAAGUGGUGA